rnacentral:lncRNA from 1 species
CCAUAACCAAUCUAUAAAUGAAAAUUUGGGUGAGUUUAUUCUGAGCUAAAAUGUGAGUACCAUGGCCUGGGGCCUUUCUUCCCAAAGGAAGAAAGGGCAUCAAAGAAGUGGGGUGUACAGAGUGGUUAUAUACCCCCAAAAAGGGUGUUUCACAUAUGAUUGAAAUGCCCUUUUUACAAUAGUCGCAAGACUGCUCUGUUGGCACAGCGACUGAUGGACACAGUAAGUAGGUCUGCUCUCUCAGUGGAAACAGCAGGGUGGCAGGUCUGUUGUCUCGAGCUGGGGGGUGACAGGUGAGCUGAGUGGUCAAAGGCAAGCCUAGCAAUCAGUUCCUAGCUUAAGAAAAGAUGCUUAUCCUUAAGGAAAUGCCAAUGUAGGGGGAAGUUGCACCUUUAUCUUAAGGCCAUUUGUUCUUGCCAUAGGAAAUGUUUAAAGCAGAUAUACAAUGCAUGCUCAAUGGCCUCAUCAGUCCCUUUUGGAAAAACAAAGUCAGGCUGAAUUAGGUUUACACCAAAUGGCUUCCUCAUAUACUCCAAUAUAUCCUAUUGCUUGCCAUUUCUAUUUGUCAUGUUGAACAACCUCAUUCCAUGGCUCAUAUUCAAGAGGAGAAUCCCAGCCCUGCCCACAGAUGACUCCUCAGCCCACCUGCAAGAGGAGUGGGCUGGAACCAAACCUGCAAUAUCUCCAAGGUGUGUCUAUACCUAAGAACACGGCUUCUCACAGACCUGACUCCCCUACACAAACAAGACGUGGAUAGCCACCAAGUUCCCUCCCACAUAUGCAGAGAAGAUUCCCUCGCACCAUUAAUGCGUGUGACUUGCUUCAGUCAACGGAACGUGAGCAAAUGUACACAAGGAGAAGGCUUAAACGUGCUCCUGUGGGUUGCUGUGGCCUCUGGAGCCCCCUGAUGACCACUGGAGCAGUAGGCUCCAAGAGUCACUGCACCUUCAGCUGGGGCCCCAGGACAAGAUUCAGGGAGCACACCAGCACCCAUCCUGAGGCUGGAAGCAGAGCCACCCCAGCUGACCUGUGGGAACGAAAAAUGAAUCCUUGCUAUUGUGAACUACUGAGAGUUGGAGCAGUUUGUUUACAAGCCUUAUCGAAGCGGGAGCUGACUAAUACACCAUUGGAGGCCUUAAAUCAAAGGAAUAAAGUAAUCUGAAUUGUGUCUUAGUAGGCCCACUCUGACAGCUGUUUAGAGAGUAGAAGGAAGAAAGACGAGAGUGGAAACAGACCAGUUUGGAGGCUACUGUGAGAAUCUGGAUGAGGGAUGGCGGUGCCUUAGAUCAG